AUACGGAGGAUCCGAGCGUUAUCCGGAUUUAUUGGGUUUAAAGGGUGCGCAGGCGGCCAUUUAAGUCAGCGGUUAAAUCGUGGGGCUCAACCCCAUUCUGCCGUUGAUACUGGGUGGCUUGAUUGCGGUCGAGGUUGGCGGAAUUCGUUGUGUAGCGGUGAAAUGCAUAGAUAUGACGAAGAACACCGAUUGCGUAGGCAGCUGACCAGACCGCAAAUGACGCUCAUGCACGAAAGUGCGGGGAUCGAACAGGAUUAGAUACCCUGGUAGUCCGCACAGUAAACGAUGAUCACUAGCUGUUUGCGAUACACUGUAAGCGGCACAGCGAAAGCGUUAAGUGAUCCACCUGGGGAGUACGCCGGCAACGGUGAAACUCAAAUGAAUUGGCGGGG
rnacentral:rRNA from 1 species